AAGGAGCCCAAUUCCGUAGCACAGUCCCCUGACUCGCUGGCUUGCGGGCUCGCUCGCCCAGCCAGCCAAGCAGCCGUGCGGGCCGGGUGCGGGUGCCGGCGUUGAGCGGAGCCCGAAACCUCGGCGCCCCACGCCUGGCUGGGGAAGCACGGCUGUGAGCAGGGUCUCGCUGUGCAGUUCAUGCUGACCUCGAAUUUGUGGCGAUCCUGCCGCCUCAGCCUCCCGAGCGGUGCGAUUGCGGGCGGGCAUCACCACGCCCAGCUUCUGAAGGGAGAAUUGAAGCCCCAUGGCGAGAGCCAAGAGAGACUUCAAUCAAGCAGAAGGACGUGGCAAGCGGGCACUUCCUCCCUGAGCCCUGACUCACUGCGUGGGGAGGGCAGCUGGAGCCCGCAGACCCACGGUGACGACUGUCGACCCCAGAGGCCUCCACGGAGAAGCGCACCACUGGAACGGAGUGGCGGAGGCGGCGGGCGGCAGUGGCUGCGUGAACGCCGUGUCUAUAGUUUGCUAUUGUUGUGGUGGUUGUGCUGUGUUCUUUUCUUGUUCAUAUUUCUUCCUUCUCUCUUUCUCUCCUGUCUUCUUCACCAGCUCCCCAAUGCUUGUGUAAUCUUCCUUUGUCCACCAGCCUUGCUUCUAAUCCCUUCCUCUUCCUCUAUUCCUCUCCCCAGCCCCCUCCCAGCAUCCCUUCAGUUUUCUCCCCUGAGGGUGAAAUCGCCCUAUUGAGGGCACGUUUACUGCAGGCAGUUUUCUGGUCUGUUUUAGAUUUUGUUCUAGAACCACAGAUACAGUUCAUAGGGUGAAAGGUAGCAAAUUAAUAGUCAGCACAGUCUGUCCCUCUCUAGGCUGUGUUUGAUGCUAUUGUCAUUGCUGAUGGUACUGCUUUAGCCAAGGUGACACAGUGGUUCUAAUCAGUCGUUCUUCCUGGCACGCCAAGACUGAGAUCGCCUAAGGGUCAUCAACAAUACUACGAGCCAGUGCCAAAGAACCAGGGGCUAGGCCAAAUAGGCAGCAACGUCUCAUCUGCAAGAGACUGAAGAGGUUCGAUCUCGCGACACACACACUCAAAACCCAAAAGCCAGAGGCCGGGCCUGGCCGGAGGCCUCGGGACUCGGCCUUGGUGCGCUGGCUGAGCGUCGGCGUGAUCCAUGGGCAGCAGCCGGGGCUGUGCUGACAGACUAAGGCGAGGAGCAGCGAAACGAGCUGGAGGCUCUGGGGUCCAUCUGCUCCGACCCCCUCACAGUAUUAUCAGAAACUCCAACCAGCUUCACCAUCACCGUGACAUCUGAGGCUGGAGAAAAUGACGAAACCCUCCAGUUUACAUACAGUGAAAAAUACCCGGAUGGGGCUCCCCUUUAUGAAGGAUUGCCCCAGGAAAACCUAGUAGAUAAUGAUGCCAGAGACAUUUUUAAAUUAUGAGCACUACGGGCUGAGGAAAAUCUUGGUGUGGUCAUGAUCUUUCCUCUGGUGACAGCAGUGCAGGAAGAAUUUAAUGAAAUAAUAGAUCAGAUAAAAACAAAAAUGAGAAGAGAGGAAGCAAAGAAACUGAAAGGAAAAGAAGCAGAAGAGGGAGAAGAAGCAGAGAAGCAAUUAUUCCACAGCACCCCUGUUACAAUUGAGAAUUUCUUCUGUUGGAAAGCCAAGUUGGAUGCAGGACUCUUGGAAAUUAACGGGUGAAGAAGAAGAAGAAGAAGAAGAAGAAGAAGAAGAAGAAGAAGAAGAAGAAGAAGAAGAAGAAGAAGCAGGAAAAAAUCAAGCUGUUUGAAACCGAUCAUAAUCUUGACACAUCUGAUAUCUAUCCAGUUCUUGGAGGAUGCUGGAAAUAAGCGGAAGUACACGAGUCUUUGAUCCAGGAGCUGGAUGACUUGGAGCGGGAGGAUGUUGAGGACGACCCGGACUCGCUCGAGGGCCACAGCAUCUGUGGCUGUGCUGAGAGGGUUUUAAUUUUCCACAUUUUUCUAAGAAAAAAUGACUUUCAGGAGAAUAUUCUUCUGAUAACGUUCACCAUUGAACUUAAUAAACUGACCAUAACGAGAGAGAGAGAGAGAGAGAGAGAGAGAGAGAGAGAGAGAGAGAGGGAGAGAGAGGGAGAGGGAGGGAGAGGGAGAGAGAGAGAGAGUACUCAAAAGCUGGCUACACCUGGAAGACAUCUCUGAGAAGUAGUCAUUUCCUGAGGGCUCGAAAUACCACUGAGAAAGCUACCUGCCAUGAGCAAUUCAUAAUCCUCAACCCAGGAAUUAAACUGAGAAAGUGAAAGAGAGAGAGAGAGAGAGAGACAGAGAGGGAGGCAUAUAUAUCUCCAUACAUGAAGAGAGGGCGAGCCUGGGGAGAAGACACUUAAGCAAGAUGCAACCCCACACUUACACCUCACCAGAGGCCAACCCAGGGGGCAAUGAGGUGGAACAAUGAAAAAAACCACCCAUCUGGACUCUCUGAAUUGGUAGCACUGGAAGGAAUAAAACAGAUGAAUGAGGCUCUAGAAAGAGCCACAUCAGAAAUAAGUUCUCAAACAGAGCUGAACCCAAAAUUCAGAAAAGAAAAUGAGCAAAUGGUCAAUAAGCCCAUGGAAAAUUGCUCCAUCUGUCUGCUCUUCAAGGAAAUACAAAGUAUAACUACGAUGAGAUACAACUACGUACACACUGGAAUGGCUACAAUUAAAAAGACUCACAAUACCAAGUGUUGUCAAAGAUGUGGGGCAACAACGUUCUCAUGCUUUGCUGGUGAGAAUAUGAAAUGGGUCAAACAGUUUAGAAAACAUUUUAAAAUCUUUGAUAAAGUUCAACAUGCAAUUAACUUACGUAUGACCCAGAAAUCCUGCUUCUAGACAUUUCCCAAAAGAAAUUAAA
rnacentral:lncRNA from 1 species